AGACUGGGAUAACUCCGGGAAACCGGGGCUAAUACCGGAUAACAUUUUGAACCGCAUGGUUCGAAAUUGAAAGGCGGCUUCGGCUGUCACUUAUGGAUGGACCCGCGUCGCAUUAGCUAGUUGGUGAGGUAACGGCUCACCAAGGCAACGAUGCGUAGCCGACCUGAGAGGGUGAUCGGCCACACUGGGACUGAGACACGGCCCAGACUCCUACGGGAGGCAGCAGUAGGGAAUCUUCCGCAAUGGACGAAAGUCUGACGGAGCAACGCCGCGUGAGUGAUGAAGGCUUUCGGGUCGUAAAACUCUGUUGUUAGGGAAGAACAAGUGCUAGUUGAAUAAGCUGGCACCUUGACGGUACCUAACCAGAAAGCCACGGCUAACUACGUGCCAGCAGCCGCGGUAAUACGUAGGUGGCAAGCGUUAUCCGGAAUUAUUGGGCGUAAAGCGCGCGCAGGUGGUUUCUUAAGUCUGAUGUGAAAGCCCACGGCUCAACCGUGGAGGGUCAUUGGAAACUGGGAGACUUGAGUGCAGAAGAGGAAAGUGGAAUUCCAUGUGUAGCGGUGAAAUGCGUAGAGAUAUGGAGGAACACCAGUGGCGAAG
rnacentral:rRNA from 2 species